AGAUGUUUCAUUUUUCAUGUUUUUUUCUUUUCCGCUCCUGCUUCUCUUUUUUUGUUCAAUCGAUUAGCCGAGAAACCAUAAUAAAAACCUCUCUUGUUUUCUCCAUCAUCUUCAAUAAUCUUUAAUCAUCGAUCUAUGUUUUGAAGUACUGAAGAACUUUAAAGAAUUUCUGCCAACUUAGAAGGUAUAAAUUCGAUUCUGACAAGGAAUUGUGGAUUGAGUUUGUUGCAGUGGUGGAAUUAGAAGGCUACAGGAAGAAGAAGAAAAUGGAUGAGAUGGUCAAGAACAAGAAUCUGCCGAGGAAGUCUGUUGUUUGCUGUGAUGAUGGAAAGAAGUAGCUGAAAUGGGUGCUUAUGUGAGCAUUUGCAGUUGAGUUAGAUGGUGAAAUUGCAGAGAUGGUUGCAGAGAGAAAAGAGUUAUAUGGGGAUGAAAAGACUGCGCGUUCAAGGGGUUUUGGGAUUGUCAUUUGAUUUCUGAUGUAAGAAAUCACUAAUAAUAAUUACUGGUAACAAUUAUCUCUAUUGUUUCAUUAUAAUGAAUGCAGAGGUAAAGACCGAUUACAGAGCCAAAAUCAGUAUUAUUAACUAGGACAAGAACUACUACGUCCACUUCACCAACAAAUACAUUAUUUGCUCAGAUCAUAGCUGCUAUCAUUACCGGUGAUUUGGUAAUGUGUGGGUGCUACAGUUGGAACUAUUAUUUAGCUUGAGUAGACUAGAUGAGGCUGUAUGUAGGUUCAUUAUAAUGUUAUUUCCUCUUACAACUUCUUCAUUCACACUUUACAAGAAGAUCAUCUGAAUUGGACACCUAUCUGGCAAAUAUUAUUUGGUUUCUAGAAGGCUAAAGGACCUGUGUGCCCUGUUACUGGAAAAAGGAUUCAAGGGGUAAGCUUCUUUCACUUCUAACAUACUGUGCCUGAUUUUUUAUUUUUUUUAUCUUGAUUUCAGUUGGUUUAUUUCUGUAUCUUGUGUUACCCUUAUAUUUUGCAUAGGGUAUGUAUAUUUCUAGGGUUUUAUCUUUAAGUAUGGAUUGGGUUAGGAUUUAGGCAAGUAAUUUUUAUUCAGUAUCUAAUUGAAAAGCCUUUAGUCUGUGUGUUUCGAUUUUAGGUGUUUCCAGUUCAAUUAACUUUCACAUUGUAGCCUAAUGAGCGAUGGACUGGAGCUGAAGGAGAUGCAACUAUGAUAGAGAUAAUUGUUAUUAGUAAUAUGCUGGACUUCCAAACGUGAGAUGGUUUGGUGUUGAAGGGGACAAUAAUGUUCUCUUGAUGGAUUUAAUUGGAUCUAAUCUUGAAAGUCUAUUCAUUUUCUGCAGUAGGAAAAUCUCUUUAAAGUCUGUUUUGAUGCUUGCAGACCAGAUGGUCAAUCGUGUUGAAUUCGUACUCGCCAAAUCUUUUCUACAUCGAGAUAUUAAGCCAGAUAAUCUCCUCAUGGGGCUUGGAAGGCGUGCAAAUCAGUUGUACGUUGUUGGCUUUGGUUUGGCUAAGAUUUACAGAGAUACUACAACACAUUCCAUAUAGGGUUGUGGAUGCAGGCAAGAUUAUGGAUGCAACUGAAGUUGCCGAAAACAAGCUCUUUCUGCUUCAUUCUAAACUGCAACCAAACUGGAUAGCCAUAGCCGGAAGAAAGAAUGUGGGUUACAAUGCUAAUACGUCUCCACAAUGCAAGAAAGAAAGAUAAGAUCCUGUUAUCUUUGUAAGCUUGUACAUAGUACUGCUAAUAGUGGUUUAUGUUAGAAGAAACUUAAGAACUUGAUACUUAGCAACAAAAAAAAAAAAUUGUACUUAGAAGAAUUUAUUUCCUUUUUGGCUUUUUCUGCUUUGAAUUGAUUGAAUGUUAUAUGAAUUGAAUGGAUGUUAUAUGAAUUGAAUGGAUGUUAUAUGAAUUGUCGAGUGUGAAUGAUGAAUGGAUAGAGUUGAGUGUGGAUGAUGGAUG